rnacentral:misc_RNA from 1 species
UUGCAUUCUCACUUUUUAUAGGAAGUCAUUGUUUCUAUCUAUGACGUUAUUCUUGAUAUUUGCUCCCUAAUACAAUAAUUUCAAUGGUGCUGCUGUCGUCAUUAUUGAUUGGAAAGUGAUAGUUUUAUCUAAAAUCAAUUAAUGAAUUAAUGCAUGAGAAGAGACCCCAAAAAUUUUUCAAACUGCCAAAGACUUCCUUGGAGAACUUUUCCUAAUAGGGUACAUCUCCGUUCAUCAACUAAUUAUCUGAUAAUGCAUCCGUACACUUUUGGAAUCUUGUUUAAUUUGCAUCUAUGGAAAGAUUCUUUGUAAAAUAUAACAUCAGAAGGUAAAAAUAAUGGCAAAUGUAAUUAUUUGAAAUAUACUUAUCCUCUGCCAUUUGAUGUGUUUGUUAUUUUGGAUGUUGUAAUUAGUAAAUGAUUGGCUGUCUUUGGGUAUUAGUUCUCUAUAUCUUUUGAGUUUCUUUAUAUUAAUUUUCUUUAAUUUCUCAUGUUCUUCCUGCCAGCUUUUACUUCGGAA